rnacentral:sRNA from 1 species
AGAGUUUCAUAUGCUGGACCACGUUUUAGCUUUUGUUGUUUUUUUUCCCAUUGUCCAAAAAGUUAGGCAACAAGUGGCCACACUUUUACGUGACUACAACCUGGAGUUCUGCAAAGAAGGAAUAAUCCAAUACUCAAGGUUGUGUUGUGUGAGGAAGCAAAGAAACACUUACAAUUUAUUGACCACUUCUUUCAAGUCAUUGGUCUGCACCUCUCGGGUCAUGAUUUCCAUCAUCUUCUUCCGGAUUUGGCGGACCUGUUGGUGCUGAGCAUAAGAGGUCUUCCGUAUCUGAUUGUUGCGUUUUUUAGUAAAACCAACACAGAACAGACGAAGCAAAUAACCAUCGGUAGUCUUGACAUCAACAUGAGCUUCAAUCAUUGUCUGGAGAAAAAAGAUACCGUCAGAUUUAACAGGUUUUACGUUAUCCAUUUAUCCCUCAAGUUCUAAUUUUAAAAAGCUGGAUUGUCAAACACUCAUUAUUAAAGUAUCCUAAUA